GGCCCAGGCGGGGCUUGAACCAGCAACCUUCUUGCUGUGAAGCGACGGUGCUAACCACUGUGCUGCCCUAUGUGCUCUAUGCGGGUGAGUGGGAUUGACAAACCACUUGGAGGGAACACUCUUGCUGUCUUAACCAGACAUUUUGUUAUAAAUAAUCAUGUGCGUUUCAUGUUUAUUCAUAUAACUGCUAUUUUAUCUCUUAGCACUUCAUUUUUGUCUUGAUAUUUAAUAUCUCUUGUUUAAAUACACUAUGAACAGCAGCUGCGCUAAUUAUUUUCCUUGUUCCCUAUUUCCACCUGGGGAUAUUCAUCCAGAGGCCUCUAGAGAUCGUAACCUGUGAAGAGAUGAUGCCACCAUAGAGGACUUCUAAAUGUAUCCAUAAUCCUGAAACAGACCAUAUCAUGAGCAGAUGCUGUGGUGGUCAUGGAGAAGUGGAGAGCAUGAGACUGAUUAAUGAAAGACCCCAGUGACAGAUGAGUGCCCACAUUGACCCUGUGGUCCAGCCUGAAAACCAGCUGGUGACCUACUCACACCUGCAGCUUCUCUACGAUGGACGCCCAGUGUUUGCCUCCAGCGCCUAGACUGCAGCUCUGCAUGUGAAGUGUGGCCAGAAGAGAAAUGGUUGUGCCCAACUGAGCCUAGUUUCUCUCAAGGAGCUAAAGUCUACAGCCAGUCUGAAUGCAGCAACUGAAUAAACAGUGGGGUCAAUUUUGUGGUUGAAUUGCAUUAAUAAAAAAAAAAGUGUGGAUAUUUAUAUAAAUGUACAUUCUUGAA